GUGGGCUCUCAGCUCCUCGCUCUCUUACCCUCAGGGACGUUGUUUUCUGCUGGUCUGGGCCACCCACUCCCACGCCACACCCAGGACUCCGGGAGGAAAGUGCGCAGCCUCCAAGGAGAUGAGAUAAACAUGCCCUGUGUUUUGCAACUACUUCUUGGCACAAUCUACAAGACCAACCACAGCUGACAUAUGGCAACAGGGGAAAAAACCUGAGGACACCAUUCCGUACGUGCCAUCCUAUCCAGGGGCUCUUCCAGGUGCAGGCGCAGAAGGUGUCUGGUGGCCCAUCGAGCAAUCUGCCCUGCAAGAUCACUUGACAGCUGGCACACGGAGGGAUACGACUCCUUUCAAUGUGUUUGUAGCCUCGCCCUAGAAACUCAAAGAAGUGCCCCUUUUGUUUCACCCUCUUCCAGCCGAUAGCUCGUCAUGAAUUCAGUAUGAGGACAGGUAAAGCGGCCACAGGAAGGGACUAGGGAGGGACAAUUCGGAUGAGCAAAUCUGUGGAGUGUCUGUUCACCACACUAUCAGCUAGCGGAGCUGGCUGUCAAGUGAGCAAGAUCUUAUUGACCAUAGUCUCAACACAUUGUUUGUGGGAAGGGUGGCUUUGCUCCUACCCCUUACAAGUGUCCACAGUGCUCUGGAGCUAUCACAAUCAUGAGCAAUUCAGAUGUGAUGAACCGGGUGGAUGGUCCAAGAGAGCUGCCUCCUUUCAGCAGGUGGAUUAGGAGACAGAGUUCACGGAUUCAUGAGGGCACUGAUCCGUGAUUAAAGAUGGUGGGGGAGCAGGGUGUUACUCUGAAUGUUUGCAAGCGAAGUGUGGCAUGUGUUUGAAAGGUCAGCCCCUCUAUUCACUUACACAGACUCCUCGACUUACAACGGGAUGAUGUCCCAGCAAAUGCAUCGCAAAUUGGAUAUGUCAUAAGCCCAAACUGCACUUAAUAACCUACCGACCCUUGCCUACCUUGCAUAUGCUCAGAACAUUUACAUUAGCUGCAGAUGGGUAAAAUCAUCUAAUACAAAGCUUAUUUUAUUAAAACGUGAAAUAUCUUAUAUAAUUUAUUAAAUACGGUACUGGAAGUGAAAAAACAAAAUGGUUCAUUUGCUUCUGAACCGUCAUCAAAUUGAAAAAUUGAGCCGUUGUAUGUUGUAGACCAUCUGUACCCAUCAUUCUGAUAAGUGAUGUGUCUGAUCUGAAAUUCACCAAGAGGACAGUGUUGAUGCUUGAAACUGAAGCCCCAAGAGGGAAAUCAAGCAAAGCUAAAACACAAAACCUUGGGGUUUGAACUUGACCUACUGAGUCAAGCCAACUCUGAGCCCUGUGUCUGGAGUUUUUCAUCUGUGAUGAUGUCUUCCUUGCUGUUUUCACCACUUUCAGCUGGAUAUUCAAAGUUCUUCCAACCAAACUCAUCCUACCUGACUCCGGGAAAUCUGAUUCCAGUUAUGUAAAAUGCCUGGAUAUCCUGCCUUUGCCUCCAGUGGCUUGUGGUGAACAAUUAUAAGUUUUGUUUUAAGAUGUUUUCUCCAAUCAAAUAUCCUAGCAACACUACAUCAGAGAUGAACAUUAUCACUGAGUGUGACUUUUUCAAACCAAGAGGCUUCUACCAGCACAUUUUUCCUAUCUUGAAUAGGACUUGAGGGUUUAGAGUGAGACAUAUCCUCUUCAGCGUGGAGCAGGCAAAGCAAGGAGGAAGGGUACACCCAGACCUCUUACUUCUUAGCUCCUCUUCCUCUCUGCUUCCUUCCAUCAUGCUCCAUUCCCUCAUAUCAGCUCCUUGUUCUGUGAAGAGUCUUCCUAAAACACACUUGGUUAAAAGAACGAUGCCAGAUGAUGCCAGGAGAAAUCAAAACCACAAAUUACACCUGUGGGGGUGGCUGCCGGUGUGGUCUGAGUGUUUCUGUUACCAGAAAUCCCUAUGUGGGAAUUCUGGCUCUUAAUGUGAGGGUGGAGCCUGCUGGAGGUGAGUAAUGACCUUACAAGGGAGGCCUAAAAGAGAAAUCUCACCUCAAAAUAGAUGCUAGUGAGUGCAUGUGAGGAGGUGGAGGGAGAAAUGAAAGAGAAGCUCAUUAAAGUCCCUCCCACUCCCCACUGCAGGGUUUCCAGACCGAGGCAGAAAUCAGCUGGGAGAAGCAGGACAUUAGAUGAGCUUGGAAUUUUUUUUUUUGGGGGGGGGUACCGGGGAUCGAACUUGGGACCUUCCGCUUGCAAGGCAGGAAGUGGAACCACUGAGCUAAAUCCCCGGCCCGAGCUUGGAAUUUUGAUAGGAGAAUGGGCUGGACUUCUUAUUAUUCACAGUUGUGCCUGGGAAAACCAUGGAGUCUUCGCUUUCAACCAAAGGCAAGAAAUAACUACUGGUAUAUGAUGGAGCAAAUGUAAUGGGAAGUGGUAAGAAAGAAUGGAACAGCCUGCUGCUUAUACCCUGCCCAAGGAGUCCACUCCAUAACCUGGUUAUGCCAACACUGAGAGUGACUGAGAAAGCACAGGAAUCUGCCAAAAAUGCAGUGGGAAGUAAAGAAAAAAAAGUCAGUUUAGCAACAUGUUAAGAAAAAUUAUUGCAAAUUUGACAAUAAAGCAAAGAGUUGACAAUCAGGAA